rnacentral:rRNA from 1 species
GACGAACGCUGGCGGCGUGCCUAAUACAUGCAAGUCGAACGCAGUGGGGACGGGUGAGUAACACGUGGGUAACCUCCCAUCAGAGGGGAUAACACUUGGAAACAGGUGCUAAACCGAUACUGAUGGAUGGACCCGAGGUGCAUUAGCUAGUUGGUGAGGUAACGGCUCACCAAGGCAACGAUGCAUAGCCGGACUGAAAGGGUGAUCGGCGAAACUGGGACUGAGACAAGGCCCAGACUCCAACGAGAGGCAGCAGUAGGGAAUCUUCGACAAUGGACGAAAGGCUGACCGAGCAACGCCGCGUGAGUGAAGAAGAUUUUCGGAUCGUAAAACUCUGUUGUUAGAGAAGCGGUAUCUAACCAGAGAGCCACGGCUAACUACGUACCAGCAGCCGCGGUAAUUC